UUCCUCAAAAGCUGGGGCCAUCUGGACACAGUCCUGUCCCUUGUACAAGCUGUCAGCAGCACCGAGGGAUUGCUCUGGCAGCCAGAAUUGCUGGCUCAUCCGAGAGACUCCAUGCUCAUGGCCAGGAGGGCAGAUGGCACCGGAUCCACUACAGUGGCUUUGCACCACCUGGUUCCCCUGUUCAGGAGCGUCCUGCAGAGCCAGGUGAGCCUGGCUUCAGGCACUGUGGUAUCAUUCAGAUGGAUGGUGUGAGCCACCCCACCAUACCACGACCAGUAGACUCCUGAACACCUCCAAGAACACGAGCCCUGGCACAAACGUUGGCGUGGAUGUGCUUAUUUUCAGCUGGCCUUACAUCGGGCUUCACCAAAGCAACAACCUGAGGUACUGCCCUCUCGCAGAAGCCAUCCCUGGAAGAGAGAUGGGGUCGUGGUCUCCUUGUCCAUCCGCAGCCCUUAGGAACUGCUGCCAGAGGAGACUCUGACACUUCUUAGCACUUCAGCCUCAGCCAGAGCAGUGGAUUGAAUCUCAUAUGUGCAUAUAUUCCUUCCACUGGAGAACAUAAAUGUCCAAAAAUAAAUUACAUUAGUUUUUCAGUUAAACUUUAAGAGUUCUCAAGUCCAGGUAAGACUUUCUGGUCAAAACCUAGAUCCUGAUGUAAGGAUCUGGUCAAACACCUAGAUUCUGAUGUAAGAAUAAAAAAGUGAACGGCUGUGAAGGUAUUCACAGAGCAAACAGGAAAGCUAAAUGAAUGGUUUGAACAAACAUUUUCUCUGCAUCAUAUAUGGGCUCUCUAAGAAUUAAUUUAUUAAUCAAUUAGUAAGGGGAAGGCAGAAGGAGAAGAAAAAGGAAAAGAAAAAAGACUAUAGAUUGAUAUAUUUACAACACUUUUCAUUUUAUUUUGUUACAUACCAUGAAAAUAUAAAUAACAAAUUAAUAUACAAGUAAUUAAUGAAGUAUCUAUACACACAAACAUAUUGAAUUGGUAGAAGGCAAAGAACAGUCCCUACAAUUUAGGUUAAACUAUGGUGGAUGCACUUUAUUCAAAGGAGGCUACUGCCUAUCACCCAGUGCGUGAUUAUAUAUCCUGCACGUUUGGGACUGCAUGAAUGUGACAACUUUGAAAAUAGAUUAAAUAAAUGAUCCGAUUUAUAUAGUACAAGUGCCUCUCAUGGACCAUCCCAAACUUCUCUGGUGGAUAGAGAAAAAAGAUGAAAACCACUGCCACAGUAGCCCUGACACUGGUGCUUGAAAAAGCACUGUAUGGUGAAUGUGGUUCAUGGGAGGGAUGUGUUAGAUGCAAAUAAUAAAGCAGCUACCAAUUUAAAAUGCAUAAACUACAGAAGAGAGGAAGCCAUUGCAAAACCUGUUAGCAAUAAAAUUGGAAAGAGAAAUGUUGCUCACCCAGCUGGUUAAAUGAUGAUGGAGAGUAAAACCAAGAGAAAAAUAAACACCAGAUUUAGAAGCACACUGUGUAUCUGGUGCCAUUAAGGAAGAUCAGCCUGCAACUGCACUGAAAGUGCCUGGUUCCAUUGUGUCCAAUGUCCAUUUGCACAGCACAGAGCCUCUCAGUCACCUCUCCAAGUGCAGCAAGCCUGUAGUGACCUGGCUGUACCUUUGCUUGCAAUGCUGAAUGAGAGAAUUGGACUUAGACUGUCAGAACAAUUCAUCUUUUGCAUCCAAGACGUGGCCCCUCUAAGGAUCUGGAGAUAGCUUUACAGUCAUUAACAAAUUAAGUUUCAGGAGUAUUAAAUGAAUACUCAGUGAGUGGCCUCAGUACUCAACAUUCAUUAAUUUCAAAACUAGAGAAGUUUUAAAAACUUUGUCUUUUCCUGAUGAGCUCCUACAAACACAGCUUUUGUGUGUCCAAGCUCUCAUUAUAAUCAAAGGAAGCCUGUAUGCAAAGCAAGAGUACAGUUGUCACUUUGGUUUACUCAUGCUUGUCCCAAAAAAUGAAAAGAGGCUUUUCUGACUUUUUUUUCAUGCACGUGUGAAGUGUGGUAGCAUUUGGAGUUAAACUUCCUAUUGUCACAUUGGAAACCCAAACUGUGAAUGCAAAUCCCCUGAUGGCUUAGUACCAGGUUUCUGAGUCUCAUUGCAGGGACAUCUUUGAGAAUUUGGCCCCAUGUUGCAGUGAUAAAGUGACAGAUUCCUCUCGUACUUAAAUUCUUGUGAGCAGAGUGCCUGGAGGUUUGGCUAGUUUGCCAGGAUUAGAGUCUGGGUUUUAAAGAGAGUAGCUUAUUUUUUCCCCAAACAGGCAUAAAAAUAGAGAUCUGCUUUUAGAGAAAAACAAAUCCACAAAGAUACAAAAAUGUGGAGUAGUCCCAUCUGACUGGUGCUCACAUGCUCCCAGCUGAGCCGUGCUCCCCUUGUUAAACUCCUCUGCAAGAAAUGGGCCUGAUUCCUUCUCUUCUACCAUCAGUUUGAGCAGACAGCAUCUCUAGAGAAACCCACUUUCACCCUAUUUACUUCAGAAAUUACACUCAGGUUUCUGUCUCUUACUGAGCCUGAGUGAAUACCUUACCUGACUUACCACCUCAGGCUCCCGUUAGGAUCAGGUGCACUGGCUUUCCUUCCCCCGUCCUGCUCUUGCAUUGUUCUGUCACACAAAAGGGCCUCCUCAGGCCAGGGUCAGGUCCACUACCUCCUUCACUUGUUCGAAGAUAUCCAAUUAAAUUCAGUUUAAUAACUCUGACCAUUUAUAUGACAUAUUUCAUCUCUGAAGAGAUAAAAAAUUAUUAUUAAUAAUUACUGCUCAGAGUGCUCCCAAGAGGCAUGUUCACACUAUCACAACCUCAUUCCAUAGGGAAACUGAGGCAAAGUGUUUUAUUGCAGGACCACAGACCAAGUCCUUGCCAUAUCGCUCGGAUGAAUGUGAUGCUGUGUGGUUUCCCACAUGGGGCAAAAUCUACUCUUGGAUAGAUAAAUUCACGUGUCUUUUUUGUUUGUUUGUUUGUUUGUUUUUGUUUGUUUUGUUUUGUUUGUUUGUUAGUCUGUUGUUUCUACCAAAUAUCAGCAGAAGAAAGAGCUGAGGCCACAGAACUGUCAAGUCUCAGCUUCACCCUGGUGUUUCAAUUCCUGCUAGAGCCUCAACACCUUUGGCCAAAGUGGAGACUGCAUGUGGAGGCAGCAGGACCUUUUGGGCAUGGAAACAAUGCAGAGGCCGCCCAGUGACUUCCCGGGGCUCUCUGAGUGGGAGCUGUGGUUUGUGUCCAAUUGAUUCAAGAAUUCACUCUGGAUUUCAACAGUUUCCUAUUCCUUGACUGAAUGCUUUGAGCACACUCUCAAAUGAGGUACGGUAAUGGCUUUUGUGUGGCACUUUUUAUGCCCUACUUUUCCCUGGUUCCCCAUCCUCUUCUCUCUUAAGUGUAGGAUUAUCUGGCUCACAUCUAGACUCUUGCAGUUCAGAGCAGUCUAUAAUGUAGCCACCUGGAAAAGAACAUUUCUUUCUUCUUUCUUUUUUUUUUUCUUUUUUUGUUUUUCCAUGUUUCUUUCUUUAGCAUGAACUUUGCAUUUGAGGAUUAUUGACAAAUCUGUUUGGAAAAGAUGCAUGAAGAAAAACCUUUAUGGUCCAUCUUGUGGUAAAAAGCGGGUAUUUCUUUGCUCAUUUGAAUGUCGGAGGAUUAUUUAUGCUGGUGCAAUGUUUUGAAGAGAUAAAAUACUCCCCACUGUGCUACAUGCAAAUCUCUGCAAUGUAAACAUAAAUAGUUGUUGCACAUGCAUAAUCAAAGACAUUUUUAUAAUUAUUGUUGGAUAGUUCAGUCCUCUAAUAGCAUCAUCUGGUGUAAAUCAGUGUAGGUCUACUGAAGCCUGCAAAGCCCCUACCGAUUUGUACCAGAUGGGACUCAAACUCUUCACUCUAAGUUUAGUCCUUCUAGGGGAAAAAAAAAAUAAAAAAGACAAAGGCCUGAUAGUCCUUGAAAAUUGAGUUCUUUGUUAAUUCAUGGAAAGCUAGUAGUGCAAGAGUGGCAGGGACUUUUCUUGAUCCGUGUGUAUGCCUCAGCCCUUAUCUAGGGAGAACAUUUCUGUGACGAGGGAAAGCAUGGGCUUCUGUGCCAAGUCAGCUCCCGGCCCUCUGCUCAGACUAUCGCAAAGAUUUGCCAGAUAAUGCGAUGUAUAACGUGAACUCCUUUCUGCCGGGACUUGGACUAAUACCGCCAUCUCUUUAGCAUAGGCCACCAGACUGCUGCCAGAUGCUAAGAAUUUUCAGUUGUUCACAACCUGUGCUGCAUUUUUAGAUACCUAAAGGUGAAGGUCUCGAAAUCCAGUUUUCCAUCCCCAGAGCGAUCUUGUUUCACUGUCAUUCAGCAUUAUCUUUUCUUCAACAUUGUGCACAGCUCAAAGCACUUUCUAAAGCUAUUUUGACACCUGAUUCUCCUCCACCUGAAGACAACAACUGCAGUCCUUUGGGUGUUCCGUAGGCAAACUUUUCUCCAAGUAAAAUACAAUACUUUAAAACAUUUAUUUUCACAAAUAGGUUUAGACUACAUUAUCCAAAUAGCUGCUAGUGGAGACUGUCCAUGGAUGUUCAUGUUAUAGAUAGAUACUUCCAAAUCACUGAUACUAUUAAUUUGCAUACACAUAUUUUAUCUAACUGACAUGAAGCAAACUUUGUUUGCAUAAAACAAGAAGUGAACAAUUAGGGGAUUUUCCCCCAUCAUUUGAAUGUCAAUAGCAAAAAUAUCCAUUAAAUACUGAGUUACUGCUUAUUACAAGAUAAAAUAAUGGCCACCUAAAUUUCAUCAAAAAGCAAGAUUUUACAAGAAUGAAGAGGAUACACACACUAUAUUCAUCUUUCAAAUGAAUAAAAGUUUGCAUUAGUAUAACCGGCUCUUUUAGGGUUUUCUGUGAGAUUUUUUCCCAUUGUCUACAUUUUCAGUGAGAUUCUCCAAAAAAAAUGUUGGUUUUAUGUAAGCUUGAUGUGGAGCAAACUUUUUUUUUUGCAAGAAGUAUGAGCUACUGUUAGCAGCUACUGAAGAGCUCUAAGUCCGAUGUGGGUUUAAUGUUGUGAUGAGUGCCAUGGCAGAACAGUCUAACAAUAUAAGCCUGUUGGACAUGUCGUCUGGGCUGUCACGUUCAAUUUGCACAUGACCUCCUGGCCAAAAAAUGGGAAAGAAGUGGUAGAAUGUGGGACUGAAAGCUUAUAUUAUUGCUUUGACAGCUUCACUCAUCUAGAAGUAAUGCAAAAUGCAAUUUAUAUUUAUACUCUCUGACCUUCUGUACAGAGAGGGAAACUAUCUAAUGAUGGGCCAUGGUAGAAGAGAAAGAAACAGAUCUCAAUACAGCUGGAAUUUGUCUACAUUUUUUGCUUUUCAACCAUUCAAUUACAGUCAAAAGAUAAAUGAAACAUGAAGAGUGCAUUGGUUAGGUAGUGACACAAUUAUUUUAUAGUGAGUAGGUUCUGGCUUUGAGCCUUGGCAAAGGUUGCCAUGCACGCCUUGUUUCACUAGAUACAGAUAAUCUGCUUGCUCCCACCGGACAAAUCCCCUCUGCUUGUAGGUGUGUCAUUGUGCCCAUCACAGAAGGAGAAGAACGACACCAGCAUCUCGGUACCACUCUUCCCAUGCAUUUGAAUUUCAGAGAGGCUGACACUCUAAUCUUAUUAACCAUGAUAAAUCAAGUCAGGCCUAAUUGCAAAGGGGACAUUAUUUGCUCUUGUGGUAAACAGGCACAUAGGAAGAAAGCAACACUUUCUUCUCUUCCAAGGAAUCGAACAUGGAUUUGUAUCUUCUCAAGAGAAAAAAAAAAAAAAAAAAGGAGAAAUCAGCUUUUGGCUUUUGACUCUGACAGAACUGCUUAAGUAAAGACUGGGUAACAGCUGAAGAUCCUUAACAACACAUAUCAGAGUAGCUAUCAUCCUGCCAUAGCCCAGCAUCCUUCAGAGGGCUUCACUGCAGCCAUGGCUGUUUAUAACAGCAUGAUUUGGCUCAAAAAUUCAGCCUCCAGCUGCAUCUGUUUCUCCCUUUUCAUUCAAAAGAGACACAGCAUUUGAAGGAAAAGUUAUUUGCAGGAGUGAGCAUUGAGAGAAGAUAACGGGCAUGGAAAACAGAAAGUGCAGGUUUUAAACAUCCCAGAGUAUUUUAGACAAUUACAUCUCUUUGGAUUCAUCACUGCAUCUCAUUGAUCCAUCCUGCCCUAAAGAGGAGUUGAUCCAAAGUCCAUUGACAUCAACAGUGAGACUUUCAGGAGUGAUUGUAGGCUAUGAAACAACCCCACAGUUUCAGUGCUCAUAUCAGCCAGGCAGUCACUAUUUUUUUCUUUUUUUUUUUUCUUUUCCUGUCUUAAUUGUUUUAAUCUGGACUAACAUUUUUCUUUUCUUUCGUAGACUGAAUGAUAAAAAACAAAGCAAACAAAUUUUAUUGGACAAAAAUUUCAACCUGAUAUCCAGCUUUCUUUGGAGAAUCCUUUUUCAACAGGUAUUCAUGACUUCUGCCAAAUCAGGGCAAGCAGGAUUGUUUAAAAGAUACGUGAUGACAACAAUAAACAAGGAAACUGAUGGUCAGUGUACAGUGGAUAUGUCAGAAAAGAAUAAAAAUGUGGAAACAAAAGCUAUAGGAAGGUCAUGUUUCAUAAAUAAAUGCAAUAAGAUGAGACAAGUAAGACAAAAUAGUGCAAUAUGAGAGGCUGAGUGGAAAUUAAUAUGCAAUUUAUCAUUCUUUUGGUUUGGUUCCCAGUAAAAAAGAGUUCUUUGUCCAAACUGUUAGUUACCCUACAGGUUCAAAGCUGCUUACCUCUGCACCUUUUGGAGCAGGAUCCAAUUAUCCAUUUACAGUUAAAAUGGAACUUAGAAUCUGGGCUAUUUAUGGAGCUACUUUCCCUAGUCCCUGCAGGCUGGUGCAAAGCUGUGGCUUUCUAGAGUGUGGGGCUGUGGUGAAAGCAAUGGGCCACACAUGAAGCCCAAGACCCUUGGGGUGGCGAGGGGCAGGCCUGGGUGCAAGUGUGGCCAUGUGAGGGGCACUGGGUGGCGUGAACCUCACAGUUGGUGCAUGGGGUUAAAUCAAUACCCACCGCCCCUGGGGCUCCCCCAGCCAGAGAGCACUGCAGAGGAGUUGAUGGAACCAGGAGGGCUGCUUCCCAUCCCUUUUUUCCAAGUGGGCAGCCGGGAUAGAAAGGAGGCAUUAAAUAAUGAACUGACCCCCACUGGUGUCACUGUGGGUUUUGCUGGUGGCAGUGGAAGGAGAGGGCUGAGGCCUUUGGUUUGGAUGGGGGGGAGGGAACCGCCCCUGGGUAAUUGCCAAGUUGCUUUUGCAGGCUGACCACGGUGCAGUGCACAGAGCCCCCUCUCACAUGGGCACACUUUGCAUGUCUUUUCCAGCUGAGUCACUGAAUUGGGGGAAAAGUUGAGCAGUUGACCUGGCAUUUUUAGAGGACUGAUUUGGAGGGGGGUGGGAUACAGAAGGACUAUUUCCCCCUCCUUUGUCUAUAAUUUAUUUGUUCCACCAAGCUGCUGAAGUGAAGCAGUUAAUAGUGAUUUUUGUUUUCCUUCACUAUUUUUAAUCCACAACCCUGCCCUGUACCUGCCCUUAUAAUCCCCUAGCAUGUGCUGGUGACAUCACAUGGCCGUCAGCUCCCAGCUCCAUCCCUGUGACUGUCAUUAACUGUUGCAAGCAAAUGAAAAAUGACUGGGAGACUCGGUGGCUCCCACCAGUGACCUUGGGUAUUAUUAGAAUGACCUCGCUUUGGCUUGACCAUAAAAAAAAGAAAAACCUUCCUUGAUAUCAUCACAGGGGCUGGGGCUGAACUGAAGCUGUUUGCAGUGAGGAGCAGGGACAGGAAUGGAAGAACCGUUAAAGAAAGCAAAGUAAAUGUUAUGGAAAGAUCUGACUUAAUCAGAGGCAUAGCCCCACAACAUUACCCCUUGCCAGGAUGUACUGGGCUGUGCUGGGGUCACUGUGCACCUUGCUGGGUUUGUUUUUAAGCUGCUUCUUGUUUGAUAUUGGUUUGCUUGGUCUAUAAAAAAAAAAAAAUAAAAUUAUAUUUAACUCCUCAA